GACUCUCGGCAACGGAUAUCUCGGCUCUCGCAUCGUUGAAGAACGUAGAGAAAUACGAUACCUGGUGUGAAUUGUAGAAUCCCGCGAACCAUCGAGUCUUUGAACGCAAGUUGCGCCCGAGGCCACUCGGCCGAGGGCACGCCUGCCUGGGCGUCA
rnacentral:rRNA from 1 species